rnacentral:tRNA from 1 species
UAUUCUUAAUAAACUACUUCC